GCCUUUGUGGUGUAGUGGUCAGCACAUUCGACAGAUCCGUGGUUCGAGUCCCGGCGUGGGCA
rnacentral:tRNA from 1 species